CUUCUUGAUAGCUCAAUCGGAAGAGCAAUUGGCUGUUAACCAAUUGGUUAUAGGUUCAAGUCCUAUUCAAGAAGG
rnacentral:tRNA from 1 species